rnacentral:lncRNA from 1 species
GGCGUGAAGUUUUAGUUUCGUCUUGACAUUAGUGUGGUAAACUUCAACAUUACAAUAUUGUGACUCUCUUGAAUGGCAACGGUAUUUAACUUCGGUGAAUACGACCGCGUGGAAAAUUGAAAAAUUUCGAUGUCAGUUUCCUGAAGGAAAAUUCAUAUGACAAAAUUGCCUGAAAUACGUACUUGAUGUAUAUAGUGGAAGAAGUAAUUAUUAGUGAAUACGUUUGUCAAGGAUAAAGUAAAUUAUAAGAAUAUCGUUUAAGCAAAGAAAACUAUAAGAAUAAUCAAUAACCCCAUGGUGCAUAUAUAGUGGAAAGGUGCUGAUCAUCGACAUACAAAGAACAAUAUAAUGACUUGAGGAAUGAAAAGAGUAGAAAAGAUGGUGAAGACGUCCGCGGCUCUGUUUACAAAAAGGUGCUGCGGCAGCUGGCACCGUCUGCCCGAGCGAAGUUUAAAAAGACAGGCUAGAUUGAGGCGACAGCUUGGAGAACAUUCAUGAAUUACAGCUAUAAAGGAUUCCUGCCUGAACUGUGUGAUCAUAUGUUAUGAUUGUAAAUUUAGUAAAUAAUUAAUGACUUUCAGGUGUGUCAUAGAGUUGUCACAGAGGGGUAAAUGUCAAUGAGACAGGUAUAUGAGGUAUGUGUGACAGGUAAUGUGUUUCCCUAUGUACCUAUGUUUCAGUCAAUAUUAACAAUUGUAUUUGUAAACUACAGAAGGUUUCGCUUAACGCAUUGCAAGGUUGAACUCCCUCGUGAGUACUUAAGUAAGGGUGACGGAUGAUUCAUCUCCUUUCUUAGCUUCCGUGACUCACUAAGGCCGACCCGACGCCCAGGCACCCACCGAGGUAGAAUUAGUCACUUGCUAUAUGACCACAUUUGGCUUUCCGCCUUCAGUAUGGCUUCCUCGCACACACCCUCAUGCCCCCAUAUGGAUUUGGCAGCUGUUUCUGUGAGGCUAUAUCUCUAAGGUGGAUGUCUGUGAGCAUUGCCAACAGUUUUUCUCCGUAAAACAUCCGCGGAGUUCUCUUUUAUGUGUGUGGCACGCCUAGCUGACGAGAUCUGACGCCCGGGAGUGGCCUGUACACUCGAAAGGUUAAAUAUAUAGCGAGGUAGUCAUUUAGUGUUAAACCUAUGCCUUCUUGUACGGUAAAAAGGUCGAGAAAUCAGAAAAUCUGUUAACCUUCUUUCCCUUUGGCAGGUGAACUGUGACAUUAAGGAGAGUAAGCAGUGCCGGUAAUGUUUGCCAGUUCGUCAGAAAUCCAUGGCAACCGCCAUUCAUCGGCAUGACAGAUGACAGGCCAAGAGACGGGGAAAGAAGCGGGACAGUGUGUCAAGGUGGCCUGUGCGCGGAUGUGUUCACCGCCACGACGUCCGCUUACAUCACGAGUACGCGAUCAGGAACGACAUGCCAGGAUCGUGUCGCUGAGAUCAAAGGAUAAUUUGGACGGUGACGCAUCUGGGGCCCCUUGUUGUCAGUGUCAUUAAUCACUACAUCUUCAAGGAAUGUCUGGCACGUAAGUUUAUUUAUUACCUAUUAUUGGGUUCUGCGUAAAGACCGAGGCUCACUCCCCUGUUGCUUACAACACGGAGAGCAAGUCUUGUGGUCUGUGCUCUGGUAGAAUAAACGUGAAAACGCGUGGAA